UAAGAAAUCAAUGAAUACCAAGAAAAGCAUCCAGAAAAUGAUGUUAGCACACUUUGUGAGUUCCUCCAGAACAUUGAGAGAGAGAGAGAGAGAGAGAGAGAGAAGGAAAUAAGGGAAUUGUAUUCAUCUAUUGCAUAUCGAAUCCAUACAUUUUAUGAUAGUGAUUUACGGAUUGACAGAGAAAUCUAACCACUGGAUUCAACUAAGGUAUAGUGGUCCAACCCAAGAAUUACCCAUACUCGGUUGCCCUUUCGUGAACCAAUCAAACACAAUAAAAGGUUUGGCCUAAUAGACUCCAAGCUAAAGACACGUACAACUAAGGAAGACAUAUGCUUCUUCCACUUCCGAGAGUCUCCAAAACCCCCAUUCUUCAUGCUUAGCUUCAGUAUGCAGAUACCUCAGGAGAAAGUGCGACAAAGUCUUCCCCCUUUUGAGCACCUUGCCACAAGGUACAGUAAUGUCGAUAGAACAAGAAUGAAGGCUAGCGAGGGAGCAUCCAGUUCAUGUCGUCAUCCUGCCCAUCUACUCAUACGUUCAUCUGACGUGAUCCAUUGAACAACCAUCAAUGCCUUUUCCAUGAUUAUUUUGCUUAAAUACUAAUAUAUCCUCCCAAUAUUUUUAAGAAGAGGUUUUGAAUUGAUCGUGAUCUAUUUUACACAUCCAUUAUGCAGAGAAGCAUAUGAUUAUUUUGUCCAAAAAAUAUAUUCAAGUGGAAGGCUCGGAUUGUCUUCCCUUCAGAACAUGACUGCAGCAAUUUGGAUGGUCACAUAUGGAGUAAUGACAGAUCUUAAGGAAGAAUAUUUGAGAAUUGGAGAAAGCAUUGCACAGUUGAGUAUGAAAAAAUUAGACGAUCGUGACAAUUUUUUUUUUGAUGAGUACUUGAGGUCUCUAAACAGUAGCGAUAUAGCACGAUUACUAGAUGUUGGACAAUGACGUGGAUUUAUAGAAGUAUUGAGAAUCAUUAAUUGCAUGCUUUGGAAAUGUAAGAAUUAUCCUAACGCUUGGAAAUGUCUCAUAAUGACAUCAACAUACUCGAUCAAUCUUCUGUAUUUGCUACACUGGCCCAAGGUCGUGCUCCUCCAUGCAACUAUUCAAUCUUCACAAGAAAGUAAGAGAAAAGAUUUUGUUACAGCCUAAAAGUCAGCAAUAAAAGAUAUGGAGUGUGUAAUUGAAGUACUUCAAGCUAGAUAUGCAAUUGAAAGACAUUAUGUACACUAGGAGUGUCAAAUCGUGUUAACGGGUCGUGUUCGUGU